rnacentral:rRNA from 1 species
CCCCACUGCUAUCGGGAUAGGACUAAGACAUGCUAGUCGAGUGAUUCAGGCAAAACGAGUCACGGCGCACAGCUCAGUAACACGUGGCUAAUCUGCCCUUAGGACGAGAACAACCCCGGGAAACUGGGGCUAAUUCGCGAUAGGCGAAGAACUCUGGAAUGAGUCUUUACCUAAAAAGUGCAACGUUAUCCUCGUUGCACCGCCUAAGGAUGAGGCCGCGACCGAUCAGGUUGUUGGCGAGGUAAUGGCUCACCAAGCCUUUUACCGGUGCGGGCCGUGGGAGCGGGAGCCCGGAGAUGGGCACUGAGACAAGGGCCCAGGCCCUACGGGGCGCAGCAGUCGCGAAAACUUUGCAAUAAGCGAAAGCUUGACAGGGCUAUCCCGAGUGCCAUCCGCUGAGGAAGGCUUUUACCCAGUCUAGAACGCUGGGGGAAUAAGGAGAGGGCAAGUCUGGUGUCAGCCGCCGCGGUAAUACCAGCUCUUCGAGUGGUGUGGAUGUUUAUUGGGCCUAAAGCAUCCGUAGCUGGCUAAGUUAGUCCCUUGUUAAAUCCACCGAAUUAAUCGUUGGAUUGCGGAGGAUACUGCUUGGCUAGGGGACGAGAGAGGCAGACGGUAUUUUCGGGGUAGGGGUGAAAUCCUAUAAUCCCGGGAAGACCACCAGUGGCGAAGGCUGUCUGCUAGAACGCGCCCGACGGUGAGGGAUGAAAGCUGGGGGAGCGAACCGGAUUAGAUACCCGGGUAGUCCCAGCUGUAAACGAUGCAGACUAGGUGUUUGAACGGCCACGUGCCGUUCUAGUGCCGCAGGGAAGCUGUUAAGUCUGCCGCCUGGGGAGUACGAUCGCAAGAUUGAAACUUAAAGGAAUUGGCGGGGGAGCACCACAAGGGGUGAAGCUUGCGGUUU